rnacentral:tRNA from 1 species
GGCUUCAUAGCUCAGUUGGUGGAGCAUCGCACCGGUAGCGCGGCGGUCAUGGGUUCGCCCCCCGUUGAAACCC